CGAGGCCCUGCUCUUUGUUUCUCAGUCCAUCCAUGAGCAUUAUUCAAGAAAUAUGGCCAUCGUUCAGGAAAAAUUUGCUGCCCUAUUUAUAUCUACUGAAGGAACUGGUAGUACCGAGUUUAAAGCAGCUUUCCUGUAAAUCAUUUUUGU